AGUGCCUGAGCAGAACGGCCUCACACACUUUGAGGCUGGUGAUACACGUGCCAAGGAGUAUGUCAGCCUCCUCAAAUCCAAUGACCCUGUUGGAUUCAACAUUGUUGAUGUCUUGGCUUGGGGCUCCAUUGGCCAUGUUGUUGCUUACUACAUCUUGGCCACCACUAGCAAUGGCUAUGACCCUGCAUUCUUUGGCUGAUUUAAUUUCAUCAUCAUGUUGUUCCAACUGUGUUUCUUGCUUACUUUUUAGUAUGUAAUGUAAUCAAUGUCAUGAUGUAUAGGUUCUCUCUAAAGAUCCAACAAGUUCAGCAUAUGCUAAUUUGAUCACUAUUUUCGGCUGCAAUUUGGUUUGCUAUUAUGAUUAAUGGAAAAUGGGACUUCUCUACGUAUUGAAUUUGGAUUCUCUUUAUCAUGUUCCGCUGUGUUUGUUGCUUUAUAUUUUUUUUCUUGCUAGUUUGUAAUGCGAUGUAUAGGUUCUCUCUUGUUCAAGCAAGUCCAGCAUAUGCUAAUUUGGUCACUCUUUUGGGCUGCUAUUUGGUUUGCUAUUGUGAUUAAUGGAAAAUGGGACUUCUC
rnacentral:lncRNA from 1 species